CGCGCGGGCACCUGCCCGGGCCUGUCCUCGUCCUCCAGGCGUUCGUCCUCUGCUCCCGUUCUGCUCCGGCUCCGGCCCCUCUUCGGUUGCUUUUCUUAUUUUUCUUGAGCGGACGCGUUUCAAUUUUGCGUCCUUCUCUUCGCGGAGAGCUAUGCCAUUUUUGGGCCAGGACUGGAGAUCUCCUGGAUGGAGCUGGAUUAAAACAGAAGACGGCUGGAAAAGAUGUGAACCCUGGACUGAGGGGCUUGAAGGAGAGACUCACCGGUGUGGCGCCAGCCACGGCACUAUCUUAAAUAGUGAAGAUGAAGAAAUAUUCAAUAACGAAGAGCAUGAAUAUGCAUCCAAAAAAAGGAAAAAGGACCAUUUUAGAAAUGACAAAAAUACUCAGUGUUUUUAUCGUGAAAAAUGGAUCUAUGUCCAUAAAGAAAGCACAAGAGAAAGACACGGCUACUGCACUUUGGGAGAAGCUUUUAACCGCUUAGACUUCUUCAGUGCGGUCCAGGACGCCCGGAGGUUCACUUACGUGGCCAGACUGUUGCAGCUGAUCGCAAAGUCCCAGCUGACCUCGCUGAGCGGUGUGGCCCAGAAGAACUACUUCAACGUUCUGGAUAAAAUCGUUCAAAAAGUUCUCGAUGACCACCAAAACCCUCGCCUAAUCAAAGAUCUUCUCCAAGACCUAAGCUCUACCCUUUGCAUUCUAAUUAGAGGAGUGGGGAAGUCCGUUCUGGUGGGAAAUAUCAACAUUUGGGUUUGCCGGUUAGAAACUAUUCUCAACUGGCAACAGCAGCUACAGAAUCUUCAGAUGACUGAGCAGGUGGACAGCGGCCUGACGCUCAGCGACCUUCCCGUGCACAUGCUCAGCAACAUCCUGUACAGGUUCUCGGAUGGGUGGGACAUCGUCACUCUGGGUCAGGUGACCCCGACGCUGUCCGCGCUUAGCGAGGACCGGCGGCUGUGGAAGAAGCUCUGCCAGUACCACUUCGGCGAGAAGCAGUUUUGUAGACACUUGAUCCUUUCAGAAAAAGGUCACAUCGAAUGGAAGCUGAUGUAUUUUGCGCUUCAGAAACAUUACCCCACUAAGGAACAGUACGGAGACACACUGCACUUUUGUCGGCACUGCAGCAUCCUCUUUUGGAAGCCCGUGGUUGUGGGGUGAGAGUCCCUGUGUCAACAGAGCUUUACCUCCUGUGCUGCAGGCGAGCAGGUCCUGCUGUCCCCACUCAUGACCAACAGGAGGUCACGUUAUGGUCACAGGGAUAGAAACGCACACGCGGGCAGGUGCCCGUGGAAAACACGUGAGGAGGCAUCUUCACGGCCAAGUCAGAGCAGAUGAGACCGUCUGGUUGCUGCUGUGAACUGGCGCUCCUCCCCGGGGUUUUCUGUUCUGCGCAGACUGCUUUCUUCCAGAGAGAGACCAGGAGCAGUGGUGUUUCCUCCUGGGGUGCAAGUCUCCGCCCUUGCAUGUGAUGGGCGUUUCUCUGAGAAUGCCGUUGCCGAGUGUGGGAGCCCUGUCUCUGAAGUAGUGAACAGAGAAGCACCCACGUUAGUCUCCCUGUUGUUGGUGUAAGAAUGCGCUGCUGAGGCAUCGAGAAGCACAGAAGUUCUGGAUUUUUUAAAAUUGAGAGGUGAUUUUUUUAGGUUUCCAGAAGAAUUGGCCUGCAGAUUCUUUUGUUUAUGAAAAUUCAGAACAAGUGUCUCCUGCUGGUCUUUUGGCUCUGAAAUGUUCAGUCUUGCCUUGAAGGCUGAGCACCUCGAUGUCGGUGCAGCCUCAGGCCUCAGGGCCUGGCUCGGUCCACCCAUGGGGUCACAUUACAGCUUUUUCUCCUAGAGGCCUUUCCAACUUUAUUCUGAAUCUGUGGGUGGAAAUUUAAAAAAAAAACACAACGAUGAGUCUCUGGAAUUUCUGGUGGAAACUGCUUGCAGUGUCAGCUCCCGAGGAAGGCCCCCUGCGUUGCCCCAGCUGACCGGACUCUCCCCCUGGCUCGUCCCGCACCAUCCCGCGGCCUCACCCCAGUUCCCAGCCUCGUGGAGCCUCCUGUCGGGGCAGACCUGCCGCGUGGAGUCGUGAAGGUUAAGCAGUGCCCUGCCCUGCACGGGGCUGGUGCUCGGAAGUGGCCCCUGCGCUGUGACUCACCUUCGCCGGCACUUUCUGCUGAUGGGGAGACAGCAGCGUGACACCGUCAGAUGCCACUGGGUGCUGGUGGGGACCCGCCAUGGUCCGGCUCCCGCACGCUGCCAGACUCGUCCUCUUCCGCCCACGUGGGCCUGGGCUCUGACCUCUCAGCUGCCCCAGCCAUCCUGUCUGUUCUGGCUUCACUCUCUGGAGUCUGGGGGUUAGUUUUCUACCUGCCUUUGUGGGGACUCCUCCAAAGUGAAAGGAGGGGAAAUACUGGGCUUAAGAACUGUGCACCACGGUCUUGGAGUCACUGAGCCGAGUCACCCAGGCGAGCGCAGGUGCCCGGCUCGGGGUCCGUCUGGCUUCCGUGGGGCGGCCCUCCCGGGUCGCUGAGUAGUGACGCGAGACCGCUGUGUUCCUUCCGCCUGACCGUCCUCCAGCCGAGUUUCUCGACUUCAUGGAACUUCAGUCAACACUGGGGGUUGGGUGAGUUGGAAGCUGGACAGAAUGAGUCCAGUUAAAGGCUGGGAAUCAGGACCCCGUGUCCUUUUUUGUCUCGGCGUGUCCACUGCCAGGUCCACACUGCGGGUCUGUGGCCGGAGCAGGGAGGCUGCUGGCCCCAGCCCGCGCUGAUGGCCAGCCCCCGUCUCCAGCGAGGGUGGGGAAGCCGGGCCAGGUGGCCGGGCCGGCAAGAGGCGAGAGCGGCAGGUUGGUGCUGACCUCGAGCUGAAAACCAUGGAUGAGCAGGAGGGCUCCGGGGUGCCGGGGCUCACGUGGGAUCUGGUUCGUGCACUUGAUUCCUCGGAGUUGACUCUCAGACGGUAAAGAGGGAGUGAGGGAGCUUCCGAGAAACCUGCCGUAAAUAUUUGCAGUGUAAACCGUGUGUGUCAGUGUCGCUCUGCGCACUUUCAGUGAACAGUUUCGGCGAUUAUUUAGCUCUGCAGCCUCAUCAGUUGUCAGUCCGAGACUCGAGGAAGCGGAAACUGUGGCAGUGUCCCAGAUGGCCUGCGGGUGCUGUGGCCCUUCAGGUGCCGGACGGUGCCUCUGAUUCAGCUACCCGAUGAUUUUAGCUAUUUUCGUAAAUAAUACACAUCCAGCCUAAAUGCUAAGUACAGUCUGGCUCUUCCUAAUAACCCUGUUUUCCCUUUUUUCCUCCCUUCUCUGCACUCCUUCCUGACCCUUUCUCCGCCGUCUCCAAGGACUGCCGCCUUGCUUUAUUACUCGAGGACUCGGGCCACCCCUGCACGGCCACCGACCCCGACAGCUGCUUCACGCCCGUGUCCCCGCAGCACUUCAUCGACCUCUUCAAGUUCUAAGGGCCCCGCCGCGCCGUGGCCUGGGCAGCGUGGUAGGACGUGUCCUCCGUGACUGAGCCGUGACCUGGUGCGCAGGCUGGAGGGUGUGGAGGGACGUGGAAAACUGCCCUGGCAGCUGCGGGCAGGAGCACCUGUUGUUUCCACCUUUGAAGCGGGGUCAGGGAACCCAAGGAAAAUCAUUUCUACUUCCUUCUUUAAAAAAUUCAUUUCCUCUAAGCGCAUUAAAAUGUGCAACUUUGCAUGUUUGUGAAUGUGGUUCAAAAAGCGUGUAUUUUCAGCACCACAUUCUGUGCUGAACUGACACUAACAGCCAAGCAUAUGCUUCUUAAUUGUCAAAUGAUAGUUUCCUGAUUUUGUAGUGAUUGGGGGUGGGGAUAGAUCAUUGAUCCUUGUAAGGACAUUGUGCAGAAUAUUUAUUUUUCUUGAGAUGUAUUUUAACUGCAUUGGUCGUGUCCAUAGGAAUCCUCUUGGAUACAGAAGGAACCCAGGGAAGUAUGUGCAUGUCUUCUGGGUGCUCAGUGUGGGGUUGUGAAUUGUGCAGACAUCCGAGACCCACAAAGGCGUGAGUCUGGGGCUGUGGUCCUGGGCUCGUGGCCCGAUGCUGGCAGGCAGGGGCCCUGACCUGGGGGCCAGCCCAGUGUGACCUGCACUGUACUGCUCUGAAUCCCCUUUUGCAGGCAAAGUGAUAAAUCAUGUUUAUCUGCCGAUUUUAACUUCAUCAGUUUUGCAUCUUACUGAAGGAAGUAGUAUCAAUGAUUUUGAUAUCAUUUAUUGAAACCUUUCAAAGAUUGGUUUUUUUUUAAAAUAUUGCAUGUACAUUUUAGAAAAUUUUGAAAAUAAAGGUUUAUAAAAGAAUAAAACUUGCAUAUAACCCUGCCACCCAGAGGUAGCUGUGCUUGCCAGAAGGAAUGCAGGAAUGGCCCUGGCAGGUGUAGGGGAGACUGAACAGGGUCAAGGCCCAAGCAAAGUCAUUUCUACUUCCUUCUUAGCACAUGGAAAUUUGCUGUUUUGCAUAUUUGUAAAUAAAGAGUCUGUAUUUUCACUACAUUCUGUGCUGAACUGACACAGCCAAGACUAUGCUUAAUUAUCAAAUGAUAGUUUCCCUCUGUGUGUAUUGGGUGAAAGCUUUUCAUAAAACCGUAAACAUCACAUAUACUGUUUUCAUUUUAUAACCAGCCUUUUUUUCAAAAGUGUUUGUGAAAAUAUGGUUUUUACUGGCGACAUGGUACCACACAGCUGGAACAGAUCACUUUUUGAUCAGCAUCACCACAUGUGCACUUUUGUGCAUCUGAUGAUCUCCUUACGAUAAACGAGAAGCAGAACCAGGGAAACGAGUCAGUUGUUUGUAAGGAUGUUUCCAGAGCACUGGCGAGGAUGGAAGGUGGCAUCUUUCUCCCCCGAAGAUGGACGUGAAGAGGCUGUGAGGUAGGACAUGUCUUCUGAAAGCUUAGUGGCGAGUUGUUUCUGUAUUUUUUUUAAUACACAAAUUUAUUUAUUUAUCUUUGGCUGCAUUGGGUCUUCGUUGCUGUGCGCGGGCUUUCUCUAGUUGAGGUGAGCGGGGGCUAUUCUUUGUUGCAGUGCAUGUGCUUCUCAUUCUGGUGGCUUCUCUUGUUGCGGAGCAUGGGCUCUAGGCGCGUGGGCUUCAGUAGUUGUGGCACACGGGCUUCAGUAGUUGUGGCACACGGGCUUCAGUAGUUGUGGCACGCAGGCUCAGUAGUUGUGGCUCACGGGCUCUAGAGUGCAGGCUCUGUAGUUGCGGCACAUGGGCUUAGCUGCUCUGCGGAAUGUGGGAUCUUCCCCGACCAGAGCUCGAACCCGUAUCCCCUGUGUUGGCAGGCGGGUUCUUAACCACUGUGCCACUAGGGAAGCCCUGUAUUUUGUUUUGCUUUGGCAAAUUACCUAAUUGUGUUCUUUGCCUGUUUUACUUUUGGGGUGUUGGUCUUUUUUGUAUUAGUUUCUUUUUAAGAGGACAUUAACCUCUUGAAGUGAGUUCUUUUCCCCAGAUAACAUUAAAAGUCUUGGGAGAAGAGUCCAGCUGUUCCCCCUAUUAGCCCGUUUCCAGAGGCAGCAGACGUGCUUGGACCCAAAACUGCACACAGGCAUUGGCAAAACCUAUAGCAGGUGUGCCUGAGGCCCGCAGCGCUGGGAGGGGGCGUGAGCGGGAUACAUCUGGCGGCAGGCGCACAGUUCCUGGGCCCUGAUCAGUCACUUACGGGAGAUCUGAUGAUGUGCACAGGAAGAGAGGGGUCGUCCUGCGCUGCAGGUUCGUGUGGCAUUUCUGAGGGUGGUUCCACCAGAGGGCUCGCCAGACUCGGGCUGCACGGCGUCACUCCCCACGGUGUAUCAUCCGCACGCCCUCUACCCUCUCAGGACGGCCAGGAGUGGGCCCAGGCCCGGCCCAGAGCUGCGCCUGUGGGAGCUGCCACCCCCAGGCAGUGGCGUCUGGAAGUCUGGGGCCUCUUCCUUUGCCCUGAGGCCCAUUUUCUCACCCGGGUUGUGACUCGCGGGUCAGGAGGGGCCACAGAAGGUCCUGCAGCAGGUCCACGUGCUAGUCUGGGGGUUUCGUGGCAUCUGUUGUGCAUUUGCUCAGGGCUGUCCAUGGAGAACCAUGUCUCCUUUAGGGACACUGUUGAAGGAUUCGAUGUUAUUUCUGCUGUAAAUGCUGCUUUUAGAAUCAUAUAGAUUCUAACAUACAGAAUCAAACAGAAUGCCCACGUAAGGUGUUUGUAUACUGAUUUUGUAUCCUGUAACUUUGCUGAAAUCACUAAUUAAAUCUAGUGGUAUUUUUUGUAGAUUCCUUGGGACGUGGCUAUACAUCGUGUCCUCUGCAAACAGAGGUGGCUUUUCACCUUUCCUUCUUCCCUCCCUCCCUCUCUCCUCUCCUUCCGAGCUUUCCGGCCAGACCCCCAUGCACGUGGGCGGCAGUGCACACACAUCCUAGCAUGUUCCUGGGAGGCUCUCCGCCCUUCGCCUGUGGGUGUGGUGCAUGCUGGGCAUCUCUGUGGGCGCCUGUAUCAGGGUGAGGUGCUCCCUUCCAGCCUCGCUUUGUUGACGUGUUUUUUUUAUCAUGAAAGGGUGUUAGAUUUUGUCGAGUGCUCUUUCUGUGUCUACAGAGGUGGUCGUGUGUUGACUUUUGUAUGUUGAACCAACCUUGCAUUUUCAGGCCCACGUCCCAUGUGGUUUCCCUACACAGUUGGUGAGUUUAGUUUGCUGGUUUUACUGAGCAUUUUCACAAGAGAGAUUAGCUGUGCUUUUCUGGUGAGUCUCUUUGUCUGGUUUUGGUAUCAGGGUGAAAACAGCCUCCUAGAAGGGGCUUGCCUUGGGAGCGUUCCCUCCCAUUUUCUGGGAAGGGUUUGUGAAGAAUUGGUGCGAGUUCUCCUUUAAGCAUUAGGAUAAUUCCUUGGAAACUGAAGUUACUGAGGAGAAGCAUCUGUUUUCAGUUUAGUCACAUGCUCCCUUUUGGAAAACCCUUUGCCUUUAACGGGAUAGGGUAGUUUUGUCUUAGCUGAGACGUAUCUUGGUUAGAGCUCAUUUUCUUCAUCAUGGGGCCUAACCUAGCAAUAAACGGGCUGUAAACUUAAUCUGCUGCUUUCCUCCAUAGUUACAGAAGGAAGUGUGCUGAAAACCAUAGAUGAAAAGGCAGAAGCUGUCUUGGCUUAUGAAAUUUCUUUCUUUCAUUAACGGUGUGAGAAGAUGCAUAUGCUUCACUCCUCUCCCUUUCCUGUAUGCCCCACCAAACGCAGCCUCACCCCCACCCGGUGAGAUGCCCGAGGACCUGCAAACCUGGGAGGGAAAACCCUGAGGGGACCCAGUGACUUCCCGGCCCGACAUCCACUUGCUUCUCAGCUCGCACUCCCUGCUUCUGUCUGGGUGUGGUCGCCUCUUCUGACCUCACUCCAGACGAGCUCUGCUCUUUGUCCCUUUUUGCAGAGGGAGCAGGCCCUCACUUUUGGAGAGCAGUGUCCCCUGGGCGCCCCCAGAACCCCAGCAGGGGCGUGCCACGUGCACCUUCCCGACCCCUGCCGUGGCUGGUGUGGCCUGCUCCUUCCCGCCGCACGGGUGUGACUGCAGUGCCCCCUCGCCAGCACCUUCUGGGUGUCAUCGGCACAUGCGCCUCUCAGGCGUAUUCCGGGGGGGGCCUGCUGCCCUCCCCGCCCCCAGCACCGACUCAGGCCCCCAUGGAGAACAGAGGUGCUCAGAGCACAGCCACCUGAGGACGCGAGAGGGCUUUUCACGUGCCUCUCGCUCAGGAUGGCGAGAUCCUCCACACACAGUGUUCUUCUGUGUCAGACGGGAGAGACACCUCAACUGUGUUGUUUUUAUUAUUUGGGUAACAUUUUCACUUUUCUUUGAUAGUCAUUUGAGAAAUUUGCACAGACAAAUGCAAGUAGCUUUUUACUAUUUAAUCUACAUAGAAAAUUCAAAUGUCAUUAAAAAUUUUUGAUUACAGUAAAAUAAAUACACAUAAAAUUUGCCAUCUUAACCAUUUUUCAGUGUACAGUCCAGUGGCAUUAGGUACAUUCACAUUGUUGUGCAAACACCACCACCAUCAUCUGCAGAACACUUUUUAUCUCUGAAAACAGAAAUUGUCCCCUUAAACACUAAUUCCCUGUCCCCAUCCUCCAGCCCCUGGCCCCCACCUUCUACUUUGUCUCUAUGGAUCUGACUACUGUAGACACACCAUGUAACUAGAAUCAUAAAGUAGUUGUUUUUUCAUCCGUGUUGUAGCAUCGCUCAGGAUUUCCUUCACUUGUGAGCCAGAAUAGUGUUCCACUGUGUGGUUGGACCACAUUCUGUUUCUCCGUCUGUUGAUGGGCACUUGGGUUGCUUCCACCUUUGGGCUGCUGUGAACAUGGUAUACAAAUCUCUCUUCUAAAGGUUUCGUUUCCUUUGAAUAUAUACCCAGAAGUGGAAUUGCUGGAUCAUGUGGUAAUUAUGUAGUUAAUAUUUUGAGGAACCACCAUACUGUUUUCCAUGGUGGGAAUGUAAAAUGGUGCAGCCUCUAACAGUGCCCAGGGGCUCCAAUUUCUCUACAUCCUCACCAACACUUGUUAUCUUGUGGAGUUGGGGUUUUUUGUUUGUUUUUUAUAGUAGUCGUCCACAUGGUUGGGAGGUGAUAUUUAAUUAUGGCUUUGAUUUUCAUUUCCCUGAUGAGAAGUGAUGUUGAGCAUCUUCUCCUGUGCUUGUUGGCCGUUUAUAUGUCUUACUUGGAGAAAUGUCUAUUCAGGUCCUUUGCCCUCUUUUUAAUUGAGUUGUAUGUGGCUUUGUUGUUGAAUAUAGAAAGAACUACUACAACUCUGGACACUAAGUCCUUAUCAGCUAGACGACUUGAAAAUGUUCUCUCCGAUUCCCUAGGUUGCCUUUUCACUCUGUUGAUUGUGUCCUUGGAUGUACAGAGGUUUUUAAUUUUGAUGUCCAAUUUCUCUUUUUUUUUGGUGCCUGAACAUUUUGUGUCAUAUCCAAGAAUUCAUUGCCAAAUCCAAUGUCAUGAAGCUUUCUCCCUAUGUUUUCUUCUAAGAGUUUUAUAGUUUUAAUUUUUGCACAUGUCAUAAUAAGGUAAGGCUCCAACUUCAUUCGUUUGCAUGUGGAUAUGUGGUUUUCCCAGCAACAUUUGUUGACUGUCCUUUCCCUACUGAAUUGUUUUGGCACCCUUGUUGAAAAUCAUUUGACCAAAUAUGCCAUUAUGACUUGGGUGGGGAUUGUAUUGACUCUGUAGAUUGCUUUGGGUGGAAGUUUUCCAAUCCAUGAACAUGGGAUGUCUUCCAUUUAUUUGUGUCUUUUUCUUUCAGCCUUUUUUCACUCAGUUCAUUCCUAAGUGUUUUAUUCUUUUUGUUGCCAUUACAAAUAGAAUUUUCUUAAUUUCCUCUUUGGAUUUUUCAUUGUUAUUGUAUAGAAAUGCAACUGAUGUUUGUAUGUUGAUUUUUUGUUGUCUUUAGGAUUUUCUACAUGUAAGAUCAUGCCACCUGCAAAGAGAAAAUUUUAAUACUUCCUUUCCAAUUUGGAUGCCUUUUUUAUUUCUUUUUCUUGCCCAGAUGGCUCUGUCUGGUGCAGACUUCCAGUCUGUGUGGAACACAAGUAGUGAGAGUGGGCAUUUUGUCUUGUUCCUGAUCUUAGAGGAAAAGCUUUCAGUCUUUCAGCAUUGAGAGAAUGUCAGCUGGGACUUUUUAUGUGGCUGUAUAAUGUUGGGGCAGUUUCCUUCUGUUCAGAAUUAGUUGAGUAUUUCCAUCGUGAAAGGGUGUUGAAUUUUGUCAACUGCUUUUUCUGCAUCAAUUGAAAUGAUGUUUUUCCUUUGUUCUGUGUAUAAUAACGUGUAUUAAAUUGAUUGAUCUAAUGGUG